rnacentral:rRNA from 1 species
UGGGGAAUAUUGCACAAUGGGCGCAAGCCUGAUGCAGCCAUGCCGCGUGUGUGAAGAAGGCCUUCGGGUUGUAAAGCACUUUCAGCGAGGAGGAAGGUGGUGAGCUUAAUACGUUCAUCAAUUGACGUUACUCGCAGAAGAAGCACCGGCUAACUCCGUGCCAGCAGCCGCGGUAAUACGGAGGGUGCAAGCGUUAAUCGGAAUACUGGGCGUAAAGCGCACGCAGGCGGUUUGUUAAGUCAGAUGUGAAAUCCCCGGGCUCAACCUGGGAACUGCAUUUGAAACUGGCAAGCUAGAGUCUCGUAGAGGGGGGUAGAAUUCCAGGUGUAGCGGUGAAAUGCGUAGAGAUCUGGAGGAAUACCGGUGGCGAAGGCGGCCCCCUGGACGAAGACUGACGCUCAGGUGCGAAAAGGCGUGGGGAGCAAAACAGGAUUAGAUACCCUGGUAGUCCACGCUGUAAAACGAUGUCGAUUUUGGAGGUUGUGCCCUUGAGGCGUGGCUUCCGGAGCUAACGCGUUAAAUCGACCGCCUGGGG